ACAGCUGUUUGCUGUGUGCAACAGGCUGAUAGCCCUCUUGGUUCCAAGGGGUUUUCAACUUCCUAUGUGUCAGCAAGUUCAAGAGAAAAAUUUUAAGGCAAAUGGGCAUUUUGUUGCCACAAUGUAGUGGGGUAAUUUCCAGGAUGCUCUAAAACUCCGAAGCUGCUGCGGGUCAUCUGUAAACUCAGAACUGUAAACAUGGAGGGAGCGCUUCCGGUGACCUGAAGGCUGGAGAGGUCUCAGUCAGAUGCAUGUGUGUAUUUGGGACUUUUGCAACUGAAGCUUCGAGCAUCCUUCACUAGGCUAGGAACUGAUUGCUGUGCUCACCCUGUGACCUCCCAGCUCAAGAUAACAGACCUGCCACCCUGCUGUGUCCACCAAGAAAGCAGACCUACUACCUGCUGUGUCCAUCAGUUGCUGUCCUGAGAGAGCAGUCUCGUGACUAUUGUAAAAGGGACAUUUCAAUCAUAUGUGAAACAU
rnacentral:lncRNA from 1 species